rnacentral:lncRNA from 1 species
AGUCACCAGACCUUUGAACAUUAUAGAUCUCACUCCUGUGAUUAGGUCACGUCACAUGGCACAGUUGCCUUAACAAAGAGAGCUUAGCCAAUGGGCAUGCCAUAAAUCCUUUAAAUCUGGGAGUAGAGGUCGGAGGCGUCAGGGAUUAGGAGCUCAAGAAAGAUUCAGACCAGGAACAGUGGGACUUACCUGUAGUCCCAGCACUUUGAGAAGCAGGCAGAUUGCUUGAGCCCAGGAGUUUGAGACCCACCUGGACAAUAUAGUGAAAUCCCAUCUCUACAAAAUAUACAAAAGUUAGCCGGAUGUGGUGUCACGUGUCAGUGGUCCCAGACACUGAGGAGGCGGAAGUGGGAGGAUCACUUGAGCUCGAGAGGUUGAGGCUGCAGUGAGCUGUGAUAGCACCACUGAACUGCAGCCUGGGUAGCAGAGUGAGACACUGUCUCACAAAAGACAAAGAAGGUUUCAGGGCACGAUGUUGGGUUGAGCAUGGAGGGGGCAUCUGGCAAGGAAUGGGGACAUCCUCUAGGAGCUGACGGCAGCGCCAGCUGAUAGCCAGCAAGGAAACAAACACCUCAGAUCUAUAGCCACAAGAAGCUGAAUGCCACCACCCAUAACAAUGAAUGUGAAAGAAGACUUUUCUCCCAGAUCCUCUAGGCAAGAACAUAGUUCAACUGACACUUCGAUUUCAGCCUUAUGAUACCCUAAGUACAGAAUCCAGUCAUUUCAUACCAGAUUUCUAACCUACAAAACUCUGAGUUCAUAAAUGGAUGGCAUUGGAAGCCACUCACUAAGUGUAUGGUAAUUUGCUAGACAGAAAUAGCAACAACAGGAAACUAACACAAACACCUGUCUUUUAAAUAACUGUGUUCAUUUUACUAUAAAACAACUUUUUUAGAAUGUCUCUCUCUCUUUUUUUUUUAAAGAAAGUCUCUAUUUCGUGAUGCCUUGACUAGCCCAGAGAAGAAGAUUAAAAAAGUGGUCUUGGUGCAAGGGUGGAAGUAUGGGUUGCCACUUCAAGUCAUGUCAUUAGAUGGGGGUGUUAGCAGAGGCAAAUCAAGAUAGUCAUGAUUGCCUUGCAAAUGUUUGAACUGAUUCAGACAAAUGUUAAAAUCUGCCACAUCUAUUCCAGUAAAAAUGGUAGAAAAAAAACCUGCCACAGCAUCCAAUAAGCGUGGGAAAAGAUGCUCAACAUCAUUAGCAUCAGGGAAAUGCAAAUCAAAACCACAAUGAGAUACUGCUUCACACCCACUGCGAUGACUGUAGUCCAAAAGUCAGAUAAUAACAAGUGUUGGUAAAAAUGUGGAGAAAUGGAAACCCUCAUACAGUUGUCCCCUCCUAUCCUUGGGACUUGGUUCCAGGACCCCCUGAGGAUACCGGAAUCUGUAGAUGCUCAAGUCCUGUAUAUAAAAUGGCACAACAUUCGCAUAUAACUUAUACACUUCAUCCUGUACACCUUAAAUCAUCUCUAGAUUACUUACAAUAUCUAAUACAAUGUAAACGCUAUGUAAACGAUUGUCAUAAUUUCCUUUUUAUCUUUUUUUAGUGUAUUGUUAUUUUUAUUCGUUUAUGUUUCAAUCUGCAGUCGGCUGAAUCCUUGGAUGCAGAACUCAAUGAUAUGGAGACUAAUUGUACGUUGUUGGUGAAAUGUAAAAUGGUGCAGCUGCUAUGGGAGAGACUGAACGUCCCUCUGAUGGUUAAAAACAGAGUAAACACAUGACCCAGGAAUUCCACUCUUAGGUAUUUACCUAAGUGACAUGAAACACAAGUCCACACCAAAACUUGGACUAGAAUGUUCAUAGCAGCAUUAUUCAUAACGGCCAAAACGUAGCAACAACCCAAAUGCCUAUCAACUGACUAAUGGAUAUAUAAUAUGUGCUAUAGCCAUACAAUGGAAUAUCAUUUGGCAAUAAAUAGAGAUUAAGUACUGAUAUAUACUACAGUAUUUAUGAACCUUGAAAACAUUAUGCUAAGUGAAAGAAGCCAGGAGGACCCAGUGUAAGAUUUCACUUAUAAGAAAUGUCCAGAAUAGGCAAAGCUAUAGAAAGAGAAAGAAGAUUAAUGGUGCGUGGAGCCGGGCGAAGCAGUGGGGAUUUAGGAAUGAGGGCUAUGAGGGGUAGGAUUUCUUUUAGGGGUUGUGGAAAUGUUCUAAAAUUGAUCAUAUUGAUGGAUGCACAAUACUGUGAAUACACCAAAAGCAAUUGAAUUGCACACUUCAAAUGGAUGAAUUGUACAGCAUACGAAGUAUAUCUCAAUAUAACUGUUUUUUUAAAAAAGAUGCAUAGUAUAUUGCAGGAUCACUCAAAAACCACCUGGUGUGUACAGGGAGGGGCCCACGAGCCAGCCAGGCCCCUCAGCAUCUUCCCAGGGGAACUUGGCUCUGUCUGCAUACAUGAUGUAAAAGGUGACCAGGGAGCAGCAAAGCCAAGAGCUGAGGAGUAGAAUUCUUGCAGCUGCAGCUGCUCAGAAAUCCCCAUUCAGGGCUUUACUGGCAAGGUACACCUUGGUUAAAAUCUCAUCAUGUCAUUUGUAUGGUCAGAAUGAUGUUGAGACUGGUUAAUAUUUUGACUAAAAAAAUAACAAUGGUGAGAAAAUGAGAAAAGAGAAGGUGGGGUAUAAAGGGAGCUAAAUCCGCAUCUAUCCCAACCAGAAAUCAAUCAAUAACAGUUAAUGUUAGUAAGUUGAGCAAUAGGAGUGGAAGCAUCUCAUUUAGACAUGUAGAAGUAGCUGCCUAGUGGAUCAGCUAGAGGUAUUUAAUGUGGCUGCCUCUGAGAAGGGGCCAUAUGGAGACAGAUAGGGGAGGAGAGGGCUAUAUUUUACUUUGAGAUUUUUAAGUGCUAUUUUUUUUUAAGUAUUAAAUUGAACCAUAUGAAAUUGCCAUUUUCAUAGGUGCAAAAUGGUUGAAGAUAGGCAAUUCCAUAUGAUUCAAACUUAUAUCUGAAUGCAUUUAUUUUGGUUGCAUAUUUUGAAAAAUAAUAAAGCCUAUUGGAUAAAAGAUAUCUGUAUUAUUCUGUUCCCAUGCUGCCAAUAAAGACAUACCAGAGACCAGGUAAUUUAAAAAAGAAAGAGGUUUAAUUGACUCACAAUUCAUCAUGACUGGGGAGGCCGCAGGAAACUUACAAUUAUGGUGGAAGAGGAAGCCAACAGUACCAAGGUGCUGGAGGUGGAGGCUGUCAGCCACCUGCACUCCACGCAGCUGCGUGGCUAGCUCCUUCUUGAAGGUUCAUCCGAGCUGUGCAUCUCCACAUUUGACCAUAUUUGUUGGGUAGUUACCUGCUCCAAGCAGUUUCCAUCUCCUCACUCAUUAAUUUUCAAGAUGAUUCUGCAAGGUAAGAUAGGAGACAGAGGCAUGGUGAAAUCCAUGAGUAAAUUAUCUUGCCCAAGACGAGACCGUGAGUAGCAGACUCCAUUCAGGGCCAGACAGGAGAUCUGACUCCCAUGUCCGAGCUCUGAAUUUCCACACUACCCCAUGUUACAGUGGAUGUAUUGUUUUAGGCAUGGAAGACAGUCUGGAGACACAUCCACCAGACUCUCACGGUGGCCUAUCUCAGGGUGAAGGUGAAGAUUUGAGAGAUACCUUUCACGUGGCAGAUUUUGAUCUAAUUUAUAUCUUAUUGUACAACAAGAAUUGUUAGCUUUGUAAUAAUAAACAAUAUAAAGUGACUGUGGAAAAAACAGAAAGGUUCCAAGCUUGACAAUCUGCCUGUUGUGGGCUACAGGUGCUGUCAGGUAUAAUGGGGACAGAAGAGAAGGUACCUGAGUCCUUUGUUAUUGUUGGGAGUCCUGUGGGUGCCUGGGGACCAAGACUGGUGGAAGGUGAGCAGGUGAGGCUGUUACUGUCCACUUUCUACUCCAUUUCCACCGCUAAGUGCUUUGAGCAAGGUUGGUGUUGUGUCCCUCCUCAACGUGGUGUUUUUUUGUUUAGUUUUGUUUUUUGUUUUUUGAGACAAAGUCUCACUGUGUCACCCAAGCUGAAGUGAAGUGGCACAAUCAUAUCUUACUGCAGCCUCCAAUUCCUGGGCUCAAGUGAUUCUCCCGCCUCAGCCUCCCAAGUAGCUAGGACUACAGGCAUGCACUGUCACGCCCGGCUAAUUGAAAAAAAAGAAAUUUAGAGAUGGGAUCUUGCUAUGUUGCUCAGGAUGGUCUUGAACUCCUGGCCUCAAACAAUCCUUUCCCCUCAGCUUCCUGAGGAUGUGUAAUUAUGACUCGUGUCAAUGUGUCAGCAACCCCCAAAUUCAUACAGUGAAGCCCUAAACCCCAGUAUCUCAGAAUGUAAAUGUAUUUGGAGACAGGGUGUUUAAAUAAGUGAGGAAGGUAAAAUGAGGUCACUGGGGUGGGCCUUAAUCCGGUAUAACUGGUGUCCUUACAAGAAGAGGAAAUCUGGGCACACACGUGUACAGAGGGCAGAUGAUGUGAAGAUGCAGGAAGAUGAGAGCCAUCUACAAGCGAAGCAGGGAGGCCGCAGAAGGAACCAACCCUGCUGGCAUCUUGAUCUUGUACUUCCAGCCUCCAGUACGGGGAGAAAAUAAAUUCCUGUUGUUCAAGCCUUUCCAUCUGUGGAUCUCUGGUACCUCAUAGGCACCCCGAGCAGACUAGAAAAGUUGGUUAGGAUCAGAAAUGAAAUGAAAAUGAAGCAGCCACCAUGGCUUGCCUGGUACCCUCUUGCCUCAUUCCAGCUCCUGGCUGUUCAAGUGCCACUCUUCAGCUUGGAAAUGGGAGAAAACCUUGGAUCAGAAAACCUGGAGCCAGACAGACCUGGAUUUAAAGCCCAGCUUUGCUGUUGUCCUUAUAGGAGGAGGAAGUUUGAACACAAAGGAGAGACACCAAGGGCAUCUAUCUGCAGAGGAAAGAUCAUAUGAAGAGACUGUGAGAAGAUGGCCGUCUGCAAGCCCAAGAGAGAGCCCUCAGAAAUAACCCUACCAACACCUUGAUCUUGGACUUUCUGCCUCCAGAACUGUGAGAAAAUAAAUCUCUGUUGUUUAAGCCACACAGUUUGUGGUAUUUUGUGGUGCUGGCCUGAGCAGACUUUAAUAUACUUUCCAUGGUGGGCAGCCUGCAUCAGGUAGAGUUUGAUCAGGGAAGCAGAAGCACUGAGUGUGAUAUUAAGGCACAUUUAAUAGGAAUUAGACCCCGUGUAAUGUAGGAGCUGGUGGAGGCAUCUGUGGAAGGCUGCUACCUCUGCGUCUAGAAGUGGGGGAAUUGUAUGUUGCCACAGGUCAGCAGGACUGACAGUGGUUAAGAUGUGAAAUGGGGCAAACAAGAGCAAACUGGAGUCUGUGAGAACAAAUUGGGACCCACAGAUAAUGGAAGACCCAUGUUUGCCUCUCACUGCCUCCCACCCCCACAGCAGGGGUGACCUGCAGAAGGACCUGACUCUCUCCUCUGCAGGGCUGCAUGAUCACCUGGCCCAGGACUUUGAGAAGCUGGAGAAGGAGAAGUGGUAGGAGGCAGAGGAACUACAGGCCAGCCUGCUGCACACCCCCCAGGGAAGCCGGGAGGCCUGUGACGAAUAUGCAUGAGCUAUGACAGCACCUGCUCCCCUGCAUUGACCUUCACAGCAUGGUGGCUGCCACCUCCCUCCUCCUUCCCAAACUUCCCACAAAUCUCCCUUCUGGCUACCCCCAGCCCAGGACUCUACAGGGAUGGGAAUUGUAGGAAACCUAAUUCCAGCUGGCUAGGUGGCCCACACUGUCCUCAAGCUCAGGACACUCAUUUUCUUUCCAUGUACAAGGGCUCACCAGAUCCAUCCAAUCAGGCCUAAUGGAUCAUCUUCAAAUAAGCAAGGUUUUGCAUUUCUGUAAUGAGUUAUAGCUUCAGAUUUCAAAAUCCUAAGCCAUCUUCUGCAUCAUUCUCCUAAGGAGGGCAUUUUAUUCCUCUGUCAUCUUCACUGCAGGCUCAGCUUUCAUGAUUAGAGAAAAGCAGGGAAGGAGAGGCCCACUUUGCUUCCUAGGGCAGCUUGCUUCCAUGUUUCAGUAGCUCCUAGGUAGUUAUAUCCCCAUUGUGUAUCUUAGAGAUGUUAUGAUUCUCAUUUUACCAGGACAGCAAAUGGAGUCCAGCAAAGUUGAAUGUCAUACAAAGUCAUGGUUAUAAGGGAUGCUUUAUGAAUUUGAAUAUGAAUCAGCAAGGGAUGUUUCUGAUUUUUUAAGGCUCCAUUUUAUCUCAGUAUUUUGGGACUUCAGCUUUGUGAAGUUGAGUUCAUCAUAUUCCUCAAGUCGCCACACAUAUUAUCAGUAGUUCAUGCAAUUCCUUUAUCAUUUUUUAUUUUUAUGAUUAAUUUCCCCCUUUUAUAUUUUAUUUCUUACCCCCAUUUCUCUACGGUAGGCCCUACUCCAAAAGGCUACACAUAUCAAUUCACAGAUACCUACGAAAUCUUGAGGUAUAUAUAGACAGAUAAAUAUACAUAUCUAUUUAUAGAAAACGUAAUUUUGUAUGUGAUACAGUAUAUUUAACAUUUAUAAAGUACAUGAUUGACUGUGUAUCUAGAAGUCUUACCAAAUUCCCUAUUAGUUCUAAAAGUUUGUCUCUUGAUUCUCUUGAGUUUUCUAUGAAGACAAACAUAUUGAGGUUUUAAAAAUUAUUUUUAUUCAAAUUUCUCUUUUAGAUUUAAAACAUUCUUAGCAUAAAGAUGAGGCCUCACUAUAUUGCCCAGGCUGGUCUUGAACUUCUGGUCUCAAGUGAUCCUCCCACCUCAGCCUCCCAAAGUGCUGGGAUUACAGGCAUGAACCACCACACCUGGUCAAACAUAUUAUUUUAUUUUAGACAUACUGAUUUAUUUUUCUUUCCUUCUUCACCAGGCUGAACAGUAAUAGUGAGAGAGAGAACUCCAGUUUUCCCAAUCUUUAAUGGUAUGUAGGAACCCUUUAGGUACUGGUAAUAUUCUACAACAUGAUCUGGGUGUCAGUUACAUGGAUAUAUGCAUAUCCAGGAAAUUCACCAACCUGUAUACUUAAGAUUUAAGCACCUUGCUGUAUGUAUGUUACACUUCAGUGCAAAUAAAGAUAGAAAAUGUUCCCAACUGCUACUUGGACUUUGUCCCAUGAAAUUUAAUGGGUAAUAAUUUCAUCAUUAUUCAGUUCCAAUAUUUCAUAAUUUUCUUUAUGAGUUUUUUUCUUCUAUUAUCUAAUAUAUAAAUCUGUGGUUCUUUUGUC